AGGGAUGGCAUGGGUGAUUUAUUUCCCACAGGAAGUGUAGGGAUGGACGGAGGUGAGCCUUAGAUCGGUGGACUUGGAGCUGGAGGGAUUCAGAGUGGCAAUGUGGACUGUUUAAAAUAAGUGUUUAUGCCUUCACUUUUAUUCUAGAUUAUUUCCUUUAUGUUUUCGGGUUUUAAGUUGUAAUAAGGCCGCUUUAAUUAUUUUUAAUUGCUUUAAUUAUUUUUAA